rnacentral:rRNA from 1 species
ACUCCUACGGGAGGCAGCAGUGGGGAAUAUUGCACAAUGGGGAACCGUAGCAUGCAGCCAUGCCGCGUGUGUGAAGAAGGCCUUCGGGUUGUAAAGCACUUUCAGCGAGGAGGAAAGGGUGUAAGUUAAUACCUUACAUCUGUGACGUUACUCGCAGAAGAAGCACCGGCUAACUCCGUGCCAGCAGCCGCGGUAAUACGGAGGGUGCGAGCGUUAAUCGGAAUUACUGGGCGUAAAGCGUGCGCAGGCGGUUUGUUAAGCGAGACGUGAAAGCCCGCCGCUCAACCUGGGAACCGCAUUUCGAACUGGCAAACUAGAGUCUUGUAGA